AGGUAGUAAAGCUUUUGGCUCAUUCAGUGUUUAGUUAUGUUUGACACUUUGUUAAUAUUUUGAGUAAAAUACGUGUGUCAUAAAAUUUUAAUGGUAGUCUUUCUUGAUAUCACUGCCUCAUUUUCUUAUAAUUUGCACUAUAAACCAAUUAAUCUUUUACAGACCUCUAACUAGAUCAAUGAGUAUGUGUGCUGUGCUGUGCUGUGCUUAGAUAUUGUUAUGAAGUAAUGCAACCUGUAUCUAAAAGAAUGAAAUGAGAGUGCUCCUGCAAUGCUCAUAUAGAUGGAAAUUUCAAAUUGGCUGCCUCUGUAUACAUAAAGAUGUUGUACAACUACAGGACUCUCAAUCUCACUCAAGUUGAUGGGUCAGUUGCACGAAUGGUAACUGUAAUUCACACUGGUCACGGGAAAAAGUGCCGCUGUGUUGGAAUCAAUUGUAGUUUCUCCGGAAAAGAUGUUACAGCCAGUGUAUGAAGACUAAACUUUUGAUAGGUCACAGGUGCUCUCGCAAAGACUGAUGGCCUGGCAGCAUAAGCUAUUCUAUGGUAAAUAGGGCCUGACAUAAUUUGUGUUAUGUUUUCAGCUUUUUAUACACCCGUCUCUGGAAGAGCGGGGCGUAUUAUGUGAACACCCGUGGAUUUUGAAAUAACUUGGCAUAAAUGUUCACCAUAAUGAGAUGAUGUGUCAUGUGCAAGAUUCAGACCCCUAGCUCCAAGGACAAUGUCACAAUUAGAGGUCAACAGUUAACACGGUCUGUUUCGUGUCUA